GCUUAAGUGGAGACUCGGCAAAAGCAGGAGGCCAUUUAGUGGAAAAGUUCAAACCGUGGAAACAACAAAUGAAAAUGUCCUUUGUCUUGCUUGAGCGAUUUGAUCACCUACAUGUGGUCGAAUGCAAACGGAAUCCCUGCAAACCCUGCACUGCCAUACUUUCUGCCCCAAAGACAGCCCCCAGGGCAUAAAGAUCAAGCUACUGGCAAUUGCAGUAGAAAUCCUAAAAUCAUAACAGAGAUGGUUCUACCCUGCUCAAGCGUGAAGGCUUCCUCAGCUCCUCCAGCUGACUUAGUCAACACCUGGAAACAUGCUCUGGGAGCUGGUUGCAGAAGGCUG
rnacentral:lncRNA from 1 species